GGAAUAGCUGUUGAUUCAGCCAAUGAUCAUCUCUACUGGGUUGAUUAUACCGGACACAAACUCUCAAGAUGCAAUCUAGACGGAACUAAUGUAACUGUGUUAACUUCUUCCCUGAGUUAUCCAUUUGUGGUACGACUUGAUGUUACAAACAGGUGGAUGUAUAUAGUUGAACGCAAUUUAGGAAUAUCGGAGUCUAGAUUCGAGUUAUUUGAAAAACAGACGAUCGUUAGCUUUACAUCAAUACUUGUUUCUUGUAUGGACAUAGACCCUGAUGAAAAAAGACUGUAUUGGAUUAAUCACGAUGGUGACAUAAAAUCAGCUAAGUAUGAUGGUUCUGAUGUUAAAAAAAUUAUUUCAACAAAUCGUUUUGGAUACUAUUACUACGCUAUUGGUGUCUUUGGUGGCUACAUUUACUAUGCUAACGAGAACGAGUUGUUAAUGCUGGAUAAAACACCAGGAUCAACGUCGACUGUUUUGUAUAAUAAAACCAGCCAGAUUAACAGUAUAUUUGUAUUUAAUCAAUUAGGUAUGUGAAUACUCGUUCAAUGACAAGCAAUAGCAUACACCAACUUGGUUAAAAAAAACCUUGUAAUAGCAUACUUGAGUAUUUUACAAACGAUGUUAAGAAUGGAAGUAAUUCAUACAUUAUCAUUAUUAGGCUGUAUUUAAAAUAUCCAAACACGUGUAGUAAUGCAUAAAUUAGUUAUGUGCUUUGACGAUGUGUCAGUUAUAUGGGAUACACGUCUGUGAAAGCAACCCAACAUAAUAAAUGCCAUAGACAGCCGUUUUUAAUUAUUAAUCCGUUUGCAAUCAGUUGU